rfam:Stegodyphus mimosarum contig82408, whole genome shotgun sequence.
GCCUUCGUGGUAUAGUAGUCAGCACGCUCGACCCGUAUUCGAGAAGUCAGUGGUUCGAGUCCUGGCGAGGGCA